rnacentral:rRNA from 1 species
GACGAACGCUGGCGGCGUGCUUAACACAUGCAAGUCGAACGAGUGGUGAACGGGUGAGUAAUACGUGAGUAACCUGCCCUCUUUUUGGGAUAAGCCUUGGACACGGGGUCUAAUACCGGAUCAUGGGGUAUGGGCUCGCGGCCUAUCAGCUUGUUGGUGGGGUGUUGGCCUACCAAGGCGGUGACGGGUAGCCGGCAAUAGAGGGUGGCCGGCCACAUGGGGACGAAGAUACGGCCAAGAAUCCUACGGGAGGAAGCAGUGGGGGAUAGUGUACAAUGGGAGAAAGCCUGAUGCAGCGACGUCGCGGGGGGGAUGAAGGCUUUCAGGUUGUAAACCUCUUUCGCUAUCGAACGAGUAGGUGGAGAAGAAGCGCCGGCUAACUACGUGCCAGCAGCCACGGUAAUUC